UACGUAGGGUCCGAGCGUUGUCCGGAAUUACUGGGCGUAAAGCGCGCGCAGGCGGCCCGCGAGGUGUCACGUGAAAGCCCCGGGCUCAACCCGGGAGGGUCGUGGCAAACCGGCGGGCUUGAGGCCGGUAGAGGUGGGUGGAACUCCUGGUGGAGUGGUGAAAUGCGUAGAGAUCCGGAGGAACACCGACGGCGUAGGCAGCGCCCUAGACGAGACCUGACGCUCAGGCACGAAAGCGCGGGGAGCGAACAGG
rnacentral:rRNA from 1 species